GGGAGCGAACAGGAUUAGAUACCCUGGUAGUCCACGCCGUAAACGAUGAGUGCUAAGUGUUGGAGGGUUUCCGCCCUUCAGUGCUGCAGCAAACGCAUUAAGCACUCCGCCUGGGGAGUACGACCGCAAGGUUGAAACUCAAAGGAAUUGACGGGGGCCCGCACAAGCGGUGGAGCAUGUGGUUUAAUUCGAAGCAACGCGAAGAACCUUACCAGGUCUUGACAUCCUUUGACCACUCUAGAGAUAGAGCUUCCCCUUCGGGGGCAAAGUGACAGGUGGUGCAUGGUUGUCGUCAGCUCGUGUCGUGAGAUGUUGGGUUAAGUCCCGCAACGAGCGCAACCCUUAUUGUUAGUUGCCAUCAUUUAGUUGGGCACUCUAGCGAGACUGCCGGUGACAAACCGGAGGAAGGUGGGGAUGACGUCAAAUCAUCAUGCCCCUUAUGACCUGGGCUACACACGUGCUACAAUGGGAAGUACAACGAGUUGCGAAGUCGCGAGGCUAAGCUAAUCUCUUAAAGCUUCUCUCAGUUCGGAUUGUAGGCUGCAACUCGCCUACAUGAAGCCGGAAUCGCUAGUAAUCGCGGAUCAGCACGCCGCGGUGAAUAAGUUCCCGGGCCUUGCACACAC
rnacentral:rRNA from 1 species